UCUUCUUCCCACCGCGUUCAGGCUCCACCCGGCGCCUGACACCAACGAAGCCCUCCACAAAAAACGGCACGCAAUUGUCUCCAUCUCCACCGGUGCCACCGUCCGUCCUCCGCGUGUCUGACGGUCCGAGCUUGUACGGACACACAGCAGGAAAUGGCUCGCCAAUUGUACCAGUUGAGUCGCUCCUCGCAUAGUUUCCAGAAGGCAAGCCAAAGUUGUUAUCUCCGGUUCCACGGCCAAGGUUUCCUGAUCUUCCCCAACUAAUAUCAUCACUAGGAAUACCACAGCACUUCUAGGUUGAGCAAAAGAAGUGAUGUUUGUAUGGUUGCCUAUGUAGUUCAGAUUCCCAUACCCCACACAUUGAACUCAGUAUUGAUCCUGAAUCAUCGUUAGGGCCAACAUACCCAAUUGGACUUCUUAAUCGGUUUGACCUACCAUUGAAGUAAAAACCAGAACUUGCAAUGGGCAUAUAGAUUUAGUAUAUUCAUGCUGCUCUGAACAUAUAUUGUGUCCACGAAUGGACAUAUAGAUUUAGUAUAAUAAUCAAGGAUUAUUUAGGUUGCCAAGUUAACAACUUAUAAAUGACAUGGCAUGACACACAAGCAAAUCAGUUCCGAAUGGUUUCGUAUGGAGAACUCAAUUAAAGUGCGUUGUUCUUACAUGCAUGCACAUGUUAUGAACA